CUUAUCUGAAAAAGAUCAAUAGAAACCUUACUCUAAAUCCCCAUCCAAGAACAAUUACUAUGUGUUCUCCUUUUCUUCAGUAGCAAAUACACUGCCCGUGAAUCAGAAAUAUAUUGGUGUCCCAAUAUAAUGUUUACUCAUAACAGCUGGCAAUAGUGAUUGCAUGCAGAUAAGUAACCGUGCAGCAAGAUUGUGUCAGCUUAAUGUUACAGUUUGUGGCAUGAGACAGUUAG